UCACAUUCGUGCUAUGGCAGUUCCACCU
rnacentral:sRNA from 1 species